ensembl:lncRNA
GGAAGUUACUCUGCUCCUUUCUGCACAGAACAGGACACUGUGGCUGAUCAUCUUAAUCCCAGUUGGAGUUCUGAAACCUGUUGCCUGCCUGGUUGCCUUUGACUAUGGGGUUGCACAGAGUCAGACACGACUGAAGUAACUUAGCAGCAGCAGCAGCAGCAGCACAUAAGGACUUCUGGAGAAAUGACAGUCCCUUGCUACUGUGUUUAAUUGGAGAGGAUCUCAGAGACCCGAGAUUAUAAUUAUGACGCCCUAAAUGCCAAGCUCUCCAAAAGUCUGCCAUUGCCCUUGCUGUCACCCUGAACAGUUCUGAAAAUUCAAACCCUGCAGCCCCCAGAGCAUGCCCUGGGUUUCUCAGCCACGCCUCACCUGGGAAAUCUGAGUGAUGAUGACGUGCAGGCAGCAGGAAGACACGCAGUAAACCCAGGAGCCUGUGAUGAGCUCAGAAGAGCCUUUGGCACCAAGAUUCCUCAUGGAGGUGGUGUCCUGAGCCUCAAGAGACUCUGUCCAUCACAAGCGUCCCCUGCAUCAGGCUGCCCUGCAUGAUGGAGCUCACCCCUAGGCAGCUUGGCUUUGUAUGGC